GGCACCUUAUACACAACAUUUGUUCUAACUUAGAAAGUCGCGGGAAAGCCAGGAAGUAACGUUACAGCCAAUCAGUUGAGGGGAAACAUCUCAUGUUUAAAAUGCCUGUGAUAUCAGAGAGAAGGCGUCAACAGACAGCUUUGUAAGAGUCUAGUGUGAAAGUGCAAGCUAACUGUUGGCAAGAAGACCCACAGGACCAAUUCAAAACUGGAGCACUCAAUGUGUCUUGAAGAUGAAGUAAAUCUGUGAGUGGAUGACUUUAUAUGCCAGUGAAAGAGAAAGGUAGGGAAAGCAUGCACAUUGACCGAUGGUUAAUG
rnacentral:lncRNA from 1 species